rnacentral:rRNA from 1 species
UAGCGGAGGAAAAGAAACCAACAGGGAUUGCCUCAGUAACGGCGAGUGAAGCGGCAAAAGCUCAAAUUUGAAAUCUAGCACCUUCGGUGUUCGAGUUGUAAUUUGAAGAUGGUAACCUUGGGUUUGGCUCUUGUCUAUGUUCCUUGGAACAGGACGUCAUAGAGGGUGAGAAUCCCGUCUGAUGAGAUGCCCAUUCCUAUGUAAGGUGCUAUCGAAGAGUCGAGUUGUUUGGGAAUGCAGCUCUAAGUGGGUGGUAAAUUCCAUCUAAAGCUAAAUAUUGGCGAGAGACCGAUAGCGAACAAGUACAGUGAUGGAAAGAUGAAAAGAACUUUGAAAAGAGAGUGAAAAAGUACGUGAAAUUGUUGAAAGGGAAGGGCAUUAGAUCAGACUUGGUGUUUUACGAUUAUCUUCUCUUCUUGAGUUGUGCACUCGUAUUUCACUGGGCCAGCAUCGAUUCGGAUGGCAAGAUAAUGGCAGUUGAAUGUGGCUUCACUUCGGUGGAGUGUUAUAGCUUCUGCUGAUAUUGCCUGUCUGGAUCGAGGGCUGCGUCUUUUGACUAGGAUGCUGGCGUAAUGAUCUAAUGCCGCCCGUCUUG